CUGGAUCUUAUGGGACACCACGUCAGCCCAGUGCCUCUCUCGCAGGAAAUCCCAGAAGAUUCGGCCAAUUAAAGCGUUCACCCAAGCGGUCUGGCUUGUCUCUGGGUACUCUGAUAGAUCACAGGUGGGGCUUGUCUCUGUGCUGCUGACUCCAGCGCUUGAGAGGGGGGUCAACUCCUCUGUAGCCAGGAGACGAGCCAUAUAGCUGGGGUAGUCCAGCAGUGAAAGGCCCCUGGUGCUGCUGGAGGUCUGACUAAGAACAGGAGGGUUGGAGAGGACUGGAGGUCACCUAACAACUGUGAGACCUGUUUGUUCCCUUGAAGGGGAAUGGCUUAGGAAUGCAAAGAAUUGGAGCAAAUAAUCCAUAAUCCACACAUAUACAGCCGUUGUAUAGAUGCUUUAUGUCAAAGCUGUCUUCGCUCUAAUGCAUUAUUGACGUCUCUUCAUACCCGAUCUGGACACACAUCUGCCAGGCCUCUGUCUGUCCCUCUCGUGUUCCCUCUCUGUAUCCAUGGACGCUAACAGGAAGUGAUGAAACCACUCUUCUUUCUCUCGUCCCGUACGGCCGAAGAGGUACAGAGUGGUGGUGAGUUCAUGGUUCUGUUUGGAGGAAGUUUGCUGUGGACUUGAUGGUUCGGCUCCGGGCUCCUUUCCUCGACUCUCUUCUGACCUUCCUCCCUCACCCUCCUGGGAGUUCGCUCCCCCUGCCAGUUGGAUGCAGAUGGGGUACUUUGGGUUCCACACCCUCUUUCGAGCCAGCACAGAUGGCAGCAGGAAUACCUUUAGGGAACAGUGGCAGAGUUUUGUUGUGUCAAAGCAAACAACAGCUGUAAGAUAGGUGAUGCAGUGAGAAGUCCCAGUUAUGAAUUAUUGAUUAAUGCAGACAAGAGAAACUGCUAUGAGAAAGUUAACUUUAACUUUUUCUUUCCAUGGAUUUUUAAAUUUAGAUAUAAUACUUCAUAUUUUCCUACGAAUUAACAAUAAUUUCAGGCA